AGUGAACGCUGGCGGUAGGCCUAACACAUGCAAGUCGAACGGCAGCACAGUAAGAGCUUGCUCUUACGGGUGGCGAGUGGCGGACGGGUGAGGAAUACAUCGGACUCUACUUUUUCGUGGGGGAUAACGUAGGGAAACUUACGAUAAUACCGCAUACGACCUACGGGUGAAAGCAGGGGAUCUUCGGACCUUGCGCGAUUGAAUGAGCCGAUGUCGGAUUAGCUUGUUGGCGGGGUAAAGGCCCACCAAGGCGACGAUCCGUAGCUGGUCUGAGAGGAUGAUCAGCCACACUGGAACUGAGACACGGUCCAGACUCCUACGGGAGGCAGCAGUGGGGAAUAUUGGACAAUGGGCGCAAGCCUGAUCCAGCCAUACCGCGUGGGUGAAGAAGGCCUUCGGGUUGUAAAGCCCUUUUGUUGGGAAGGAAAAGCAUCAGGUUAAUACCCCGCUGUUCUGACGGUACCCAAAGAAUAAGCACCGGCUAACUUCGUG
rnacentral:rRNA from 1 species